GGAAAGGUGACUCAGUGGUAGAGUGCUUGCCUUGUAAGCCUGAGGCCUGGGUUCAAUUCCUCAGUACCA
rfam:Dipodomys ordii contig_13637, whole genome shotgun sequence.